rnacentral:rRNA from 1 species
GAUGAACGCUGGCGGCGUGCCUAAUACAUGCAAGUCGAGCGAACGGACGAGAAGCUUGCUUCCCUGAUGUUAGCGGCGGACGGGCGAGUAACACGUGGAUAACCUACCUAUAAGACUGGGAUAACUUCGGGAAACCGGAGCUAAUACCGGAUAAUAUUUUGAACCGCAUGGUUCAAAAGUGAAAGACGGUCUUGCUGUCACUUAUAGAUGGAUCCGCGCCGCAUUAGCUAGUUGGUAAGGUAACGGCUUACCAAGGCAACGAUGCAUAGCCGACCUGAGAGGGUGAUCGGCCACACUGGAACUGAGACACGGUCCAGACUCCUACGGGAGGCAGCAGUAGGGAAUCUUCCACAAUGGGCGCAAGCCUGACCGAGCAACGCCGCGUGAGUGAUGAAGGUCUUCGGAUCGUAAAACUCUGUUAUUAGGGAAGAACAUAUGUGUAAGUAACUGUGCACAUCUUGACGGUACCUAAUCAGAAAGCCACGGCUAACUACGUG